AGAACGAACGCUGGCGGCAGGCCUAAUACAUGCAAGUCGAACGCACUCUUCGGAGUGAGUGGCAGACGGGUGAGUAACGCGUGGGAACCUUCCCAAUGGUACGGAAUAACUCCGGGAAACCGGUGCUAAUACCGUAUAAGCCCCUCGGGGGAAAGAUUUAUCGCCAUUGGAUGGGCCCGCGUCGGAUUAGCUAGUUGGUGAGGUAACGGCUCACCAAGGCGACGAUCGGUAGGUGGUCUGAGAGGACGAUCACCCAGACUGGGACUGAGACACGGCCCAGACUCCUACGGGAGGCAGCAGUCGGGAAUUUUGCGCAAUGGACGAAAGUCUGACGCAGCAACGCCGCGUGAGGGAUGAAGGCCUUCGGGUUGUAAACCUCUUUUUCCAGGGAAGAUAAUGACGGUACCUGGCGAAUAAGUCACGGCUAACUACGUGCCAGCAGCCGC
rnacentral:rRNA from 1 species